UACGUAGGGUGCGAGCGUUGUCCGGAAUUAUUGGGCGUAAAGAGCUCGUAGGCGGUCUGUCGCGUCUGCUGUGAAAAUCCGGGGCUCAACCCCGGACUUGCAGUGGGUACGGGCAGACUAGAGUGUGGUAGGGGAGACUGGAAUUCCUGGUGUAGCGGUGAAAUGCGCAGAUAUCAGGAGGAACACCGAUGGCGAAGGCAGGUCUCUGGGCCACUACUGACGCUGAGAAGCGAAAGCAUGGGGAGCGAACAGG
rnacentral:rRNA from 1 species